rnacentral:lncRNA from 1 species
NNNNNNNNNNNNNNNNNNNNNNNNNNNNNNNNNNNNNNNNNNNNNNNNCUGGGAGACCCCUUGUCUUGCACUGAGCUGCUCUGGUCCUUACUGGGAGAGCCCUUGUCUUGCACUGGGCUGCUCUGGUCCUUACUGGGAGAGCCCUUGUCUUGCACUGGGCUGCUCUGGUCCUUACUGGGAGAGCCCUUGUCUUGCACUGGGCUGCUCUGGUCCUUACUGGGAGAGCCCUUGUCUUGCACUGGGCUGCUCUGGUCCUUACUGGGAGAGCCCUUGUCUUGCACUGGGCUGCUCUGGUCCUUACUGGGAGAGCCCUUGUCUUGCACUGGGCUGCUCUGCAACACGGUGCCCCAUCUCCCCCCCCCGGGAGAGCCUGGAGUUUGUCCCCGGUUGUCCCGUUUUUUUACCGGGACACCCCACACGGGGCUGCCCCCGUUCCUGACCGGGAGACCCUGCACUGAGCUGUUCCGUUUCCCACCGGGAGAUCCCGCACCGGGCUGCCCCGUUCUCCCCCGGGAGACCCCGCACCCCACUGCCCUAAUUCCAACCCCCCGGGAGAGCCUGGACUCUGUCCCGGGCUGUCCUGCACCGGGCUGUCCCGGUCCUUACCGGGAGACCCCGCACCGGGCUGCCCCGUUUUCCCCCGGGAGAGCCCGUAUCCCGCACCGGGCUGCCCGGUUCCCCACCGGGAGACCCCGCACCGUGCUGCCCCGUUCCUUACCGGGAGACCCGGCACCGGGCUGCCCCGUUUCCCCCCGGUAGAGCCCGUAUCCCGCACCGGGCUGCCCCGUUUCCCCCCGGGAGAGCCCGUAUCCCGCACCGGGCUGCCCCGUUCCCCACCGGUAGAGCCCGUAUCCCGCACCGGGCUGCCCUGUUCCCCACCGGGAGACCCCGCACCGGGCUGCCCCGUCCCUUACUGGGAGACCCCGCACCGGGCUGCCCCGUCCCUUACCGGGAGACCCCGCACCGGGCUGCCCCGUCCCUUACCGGGAGACCCCGCACCGGGCUGCCCCGUUUUCCCCCGGGAGAGCCCGUAUCCCGCACC